UACAGAGGUCCCAAGCGUUGUUCGGAUUCACUGGGCGUAAAGGGUGCGUAGGUGGUGAGGUAAGUCGGAUGUGAAAGCUCGGAGCUCAACUCCGAAAUGGCAUUGGAAACUACCUUGCUCGAGGGUUGGAGGGGGGACUGGAAUGCUUGGUGUAGCAGUGAAAUGCGUAGAUAUCGGGAGGAACACCAAUGGCGAAGGCAGCUCGCUGGGACGGUACUGACGCUGAGACGCGAAAGCGUGGGGAGCAAACAGG
rnacentral:rRNA from 1 species